ACGGUUAUAAAUCAACAUAUUGAUUUAUAAGCAUGGAAAUCCCCUGACUGAAACAACGAAUUGCUGUGUGUAGUCUUUGCCCAUCUCCCACGAUGGGCUUUUUUUUAA
rnacentral:other from 1 species